AGAUAAUUAGUAAUAUAAAAAAUACUUGGUUUCGACCCAGGAGUAUGUGGUGUAAGUCCGCAAUUAUCUA
rnacentral:tRNA from 2 species